GCAUAUCAAUAAGCGGAGGAAAAGAAACCAACAGGGAUUGCCUUAGUAGCGGCGAGUGAAGCGGCAAAAGCUCAAAUUUGAAAUCUGGCGCCUUCGGUGUCCGAGUUGUAAUUUGAAGAUUGUAACCUUGGGGUUGGCUCUUGUCUAUGUUUCUUGGAACAGGACGUCACAGAGGGUGAGAAUCCCGUGCGAUGAGAUGCCCAAUUCUAUGUAAGGUGCUUUCGAAGAGUCGAGUUGUUUGGGAAUGCAGCUCUAAGUGGGUGGUAAAUUCCAUCUAAAGCUAAAUAUUGGCGAGAGACCGAUAGCGAACAAGUACAGUGAUGGAAAGAUGAAAAGAACUUUGAAAAGAGAGUGAAAAAGUACGUGAAAUUGUUGAAAGGGAAGGGUUUGAGAUCAGACUCGAUAUUUUGUGAGCCUUGCCUUCGUGGCGGGGUGACCCGCAGCUUAUCGGGCCAGCAUCGGUUUGGGCGGUAGGAUAAUGGCGUAGGAAUGUGACUUUACUUCGGUGAAGUGUUAUAGCCUGCGUUGAUGCUGCCUGCCUAGACCGAGGACUGCGAUUUUAUCAAGGAUGCUGGCAUAAUGAUCCCAAACCGCCCGUCUUGAACCACCGGACCA
rnacentral:rRNA from 1 species